rnacentral:rasiRNA from 1 species
AUUGCUUCUAUUCCCUUGUCAUUGGCC